ensembl:lncRNA
UUAUAUUAGCAGAAUUGGAAAAGAAUAGGGAUGGAAUGACCAUUUAUCUGAUACCUACUAUAAGCCCAUAAGUCUGUACUACAGCCACUUCAUUUAAUCCUUACCAUGGGCACAGACAAGUUCACGUUACAGACAGGCACACAGGCCUAGGCUGGUUAAAUGGUUUACUCAAGGUUACUGGUUAAACAAUGAUACAGCCAGACUUCAAAGCCAGUACUUACAUCCAUGUCUGCUUAUCAGUGAAGCCACACACUCCUUGGAGACUGGCAUUGUGUCCAUUCAUGCAAAAAGACUUUGUAUCCAGAGUGUCAUGUGUUGUAUCAGGCUCUGGAACGCAGAGAACGGAUGCUUGCAUGUAUGGAACGUGCCACUAGAAAGCAAGUCUUCAUUCGCUUUACACAGCUCAAGGCUCACCCAGCUCAGGUGUUAUGAUUCCACUUUCCUUUCUAUCACUUUCAGCAACUUUCCUUCAGCGUGAUAAAAAAUCCGACCUUGGAUUCUUCAUGGUCAAGGCCGUACAUUAGAAAAUGAAGGAGGAAGUGGUCUCCAUCCUGCACACAUGAUGAAAUCUACUUGAUGGAAAUCUUCCCUGAUCCAUUUAAACAGUGUUGACAACUUCACCUGAUCUCCAAGUGGACUCAGUAUCUGCAUAUAUUAGAGUCAGUGUCACACCAUUAUGCAAUUAUUUCCUCAUCUAUUUGACCAUUAGACCCUCAAGAGCAGAAACUGAUUUAUUCACCCCUCUUUCUCCUAUUCCUAGCCUAAGGUCUGGCAUCUGCUAGGCCUGAAAUCAAUGGCCUCUGAGUGAUCAGUCAGCAUGUCUUGAGUUUGAUCGGUGUAUGUAUACAAAACCUAAAGGAUUACAUGUUUUCCAAGAAAUGUUUUCCCAGCCAAACAAGAUAUGUUCAAGUCAUGGCACAAAAAGAGAAAUUUAAAAAAGAAAUCUCAACAUUUCCUUUCGUGUUCCAGAACUGUGAAGAGGAACGUUAACGACUUCCCCAGGAAACCAGAACUCCAGCAAAGGGCGGAAGUCACAGAACCUCGUUUAUAACCAAGAUCCUGUCAUUUUCUCCACAAAAGAUGUGUUUGUAAGAGCAACUGGCAUAUCUAAUUUAAUCUUGUUUUGAAAAUGCUAAUGUUUCUCACAUUAUAAAUUAGUAAGAUUCUUCAUUCUUUGAAAGCAUCACAAAAGUCACUCAGAAUUAUGUCAGCAGGAUUGAAGUUGUCCAUGUUUAUUUAAAAUAACUCUCUUGAGAGUUCUAGAUCAGCUUGAGCAACACAGUGAGACCUCGUCUCUACAAAAAAAUAAUUUUAAAAAAACAGCGGGCAUAGGCCAGAUGUGGUAGCUCAUGCCUGUAAUCCCAGCACUUUGGGAGGCCGAGGCAGGCAGAUCAUGAGGUCAGGAGAUCAAGACCAUCCUGGCUAACAUGGUGAAAUCCCAUCUCUACUAAAAAUACAAAAAAAAAUUAGCUAGGUGUAGUGGCAGGCGCCUGUAGUCCCAGCUACUCAAGAGGCUGAGGCAGGAGAAUCGCACAAGCCCAGGAGGCAGAGCUUGCAGUGAGCCGAGAUCGCACCACUGCACUCCAGCCUGAGAGAUAGAGCGUAACUCCAUCUCAAAAAAAAAAAAAAAAA